rnacentral:rRNA from 1 species
GACGAACGCUGGCGGCGUGCUUAAUACAUGCAAGUCGAACGGAAAGGCCCUGCUCUUGUGGGGUGCUCGAGUGGCGAACAGGUGAGUAACACGCGAGUAACCUGCCCUUGACAUUGGGAUAAAUUCAGGAAACUGGGGCUAAUAUCGGAUAGGAGCUCCUGAUGCAUGGUGGGGGAUGGAAAGAUUCGGCGGUUGGGGAUGGACUCGCGGCUUAUCAGCUUGUUGGUGGGGUAGUGGCUUACCAAGGCUUUGACGGGUAGCCGGCCUGAGAGGGUGACCGGCCACAUGGGGACUGAGAUACGGCCCAGACGGCUACGGGAGGCAGCGGUGGGAAAUAUUGCGCAAUGGGCGGAAGCCUGAUGCAGCAACGUCGCGUGCGGGAUGACGGCCUUCGGGUUGUAAACCGCUUUCGCCUGUAACGAAGCGUGAGUGACGGUAAUGGGUAAAGAAGCAACGGCUAACUACGUG